rnacentral:rRNA from 1 species
AGGACGAACGCUGGCGGCGUGCUUAACACAUGCAAGUCGAGCGGUGAUCCUCCUUCGGGAGGUGAUCAGCGGCGAACGGGUGAGUAACACGUGGGCAACCUGCCCCUCACACUGGGAUAACCUCGGGAAACCGGGGCUAAUACCGGAUACGACCUCGAGCGGCAUCUCUUGAGGUGGAAAGCUCCGACGGUGAGGGAUGGGCCCGCGGCCUAUCAGCUAGUUGGUGGGGUAAUGGCCUACCAAGGCGACGACGGGUA